rnacentral:rRNA from 1 species
GUGACAUUAGCUAGUUGGUGGAGUAACGGCCCACCAAGGCGACGAUGUCUAGGGGCUCUGAGAGGAGAAUCCCCCACCACUGGUACUGAGACACGGACCAGACUCCUACGGGAGGCAGCAGUAAGGAAUAUUGGUCAAUGGGGGGAACCCUGAACCAGCCAUGCCGCGUGCAGGAAGACUGCCCUACGGGUUGUAAACUGCUUUUAUCGGGGAAUAAACCUCACUACGUGUAGUGAAUUGAAUGUACCCGAGGAAUAAGGAUCGGCUAACUCCGUGCCAGCAGCCGCGGUAAUACGGAGGAUCCAAGCGUUAUCCGGAUUUAUUGGGUUUAAAGGGUGCGUAGGCGGCACUUUAAGUCAGGGGUGAAAUACGGCAGCUUAACUGUCGCAGUGCCUUUGAUACUGAAGUGCUUGAAUGCGGAUGAAGACGGCGGAAUGAGACAAGUAGCGGUGAAAUGCAUAGAUAUGUCUCAGAACACCAAUUGCGAAGGCAGCUGUCUAAGCCGUAAUUGACGCUGAUGCACGAAAGCGUGGGGAUCGAACAGGAUUAGAUACCCUGGUAGUCCACGCCCUAAACGAUGAUGACUCGAUGUUUGCGAUAUACAGUAAGCGUCCAAGCGAAAGCGUUAAGUCAUCCACCUGGGGAGUACGCCCGCAAGGGUGAAACUCAAAGGAAUUGACGGGGGCCCGCACAAGCGGAGGAGCAUGUGGUUUAAUUCGAUGAUACGCGAGGAACCUUACCCGGGCUUGAAAGUUACUGAAGCAUCCAGAGACGGAUGCGUCCUUCGGGACAGGAAACUAGGUGCUGCAUGGCUGUCGUCAGCUCGUGCCGUGAGGUGUUGGGUUAAGUCCCGCAACGAGCGCAACCCCUAUGUCUAGUUGCCAGCACGUUAAGGUGGGGACUCUAGACAGACUGCCUGCGCAAGCAGUGAGGAAGGCGGGGACGACGUCAAGUCAUCAUGGCCCUUACGUCCGGGGCUACACACGUGCUACAAUGGACGGUACAGCGGGCAGCUACACAGCAAUGUGAUGCCAAUCUCGUAAAGCCGUUCACAGUUCGGAUCGGGGUCUGCAACUCGACCCCGUGAAGUGGAUUCGCUAGA